GGGAAUUUUCCGCAAUGGGCGAAAGCCUGACGGAGCAAGACCGCGUGAGGGAGGAAGGCUCUUGGGUUGUAAACCUCUUUUCUCUGGGAAGAAGUUCUGACGGUACCAGAGGAAUCAGCAUCGGCUAACUCCGUGCCAGCAGCCGCGGUAAUACGGAGGAUGCAAGCGUUAUCCGGAAUUAUUGGGCGUAAAGCGUCCGUAGGUGGCUAUUCAAGUCUGCCGUUAAAACCAGUGGCUUAACUACUGAGGGGCGGUGGAAACUGAAGAGCUAGAGUGUGGUAGGGGUAGAGGGAAUUCCCAGUGUAGCGGUGAAAUGCGUAGAGAUUGGGAAGAACACCGGUGG
rnacentral:rRNA from 1 species